GGUUGAUUCUGCCAGUAGUCAUAUGCUUGUUUCAAGGACUAAGCCAUGCAUGCCUCAGAAUCACUGCAUUUGCAGGAAUCUGCGCAUGGCUCAUUACAUCAGACGUAAUCUGCCGCAAUUAUUUUGCGGUUUCCGCAAUAUUGGAUACCUUGGCGAAACGCCAAGCUAAUACAUGAAUCUAACGGGUGUCCUCCGUUCAAUGUGGGGGAGGAGUUCGCUCCGAACCUGCUGCGAGGCACCCUGCGAAUGAAUGAAAUUAAAACCAAUGCCACGUCAGUGGCAGCAUCACUGAGAAGUGUUGACUCAAUUCAUUCCGUGCGAAAGCCGAAUUUUUCGGCGUCUUUUGACGAACAACUGCCCUAUCAGCCAGUGAUGGCCGUGUAGUGGACUGCCAUGGCGUUGACGGGAGCGGGGGAUUAGGGUUCGAUUCCGGAGAGGGAGCCUGAGAACCGGCUACCACUUCUACGGAGGGCAGCAGGCGCGCAAAUUGCCCAAUGCCAAAAAAUUGGUGAGGCAGCGAAAAGAAAUAGGCCUCCUUAACACUUUACUGUGUUUGGGAGAUUCCAAUGGGGGAUAUUUAAACCCAUCGAACAUCGAGUACCAAUUGGAGGACAAGUCUGGUGCCAGCACCCGCGGUAAUUCCAGCUCCAAGAGCGUAUAUUAAUGCUGUUGCUGUUAAAGGGUUCGUAGUUGAAUUGAGGAUGUUCGGGUUCAUGUUGGUGCAGUCCGCUUUAGCUUCGUGCAAAGUUGUGGCUCCCACGCCCUCAUCCGUGAACGCUCAGAAACAAAUACCACGGGAUUCUGCUUCCUACCAACAUCUCUCGCGUACAAUGCACGCCGUGUGGUGGGACGCCCGUGAUUUUUACUGUGACUAAAAAAGCGCGACCAAAGCAGUCAAGCGACAUGAAUUUUAAAGCAUGGGAUAACAACGAAGCAGCCUGCGGGUUACCGUUUCGGCUUUUGUUGGUUUUAAAGAUCUGUGGGAGAUUAUGGCAUGGUGUGACAAGCGGUUCGGAGCUCCUCGGAUGUCUCCUACGCCUUCCGGCUGUGUUCCUGUUCGCGCAGGACGCAGUUUAGGUUCACCUUUGCUAGGAAUGAAGGAGGGUUGUUCGGGGGAGAACGUACUUGUCCGUGAGAGGUGAAAUUCUUAGACCGGACAAAGACGAACUACAGCGAAGGCAUUCUCCAACGAUACCUUCCUCAAUCAAGAACCAAAGUGCGGAGAUCGAAGAUGAUUAGAGACCAUUGUAGUCCGCGCCACAAACGGUGACCCCCAUGAAUUGGGGAGUAUUUGGCUCGCUUGGGCCUGCCUUCCGGUAGGUUUCCAAGCGGUCAAUAAUUACUCAACUUACGUGCACAUUCUACGCGCCGGUCGUCAAAACCCGGCGUUCUACGGGAAUAUCCUCAGCACGUUCUCUGACUGUCUCACGCGAAAGCUUUGAGGUUAUAGUCUCAGGGGGG
rnacentral:rRNA from 1 species